rnacentral:rRNA from 1 species
GUCUCUAGCCCUAGCAGGCCAAAUGCACUUGAGAAGCAGGGCUGGGCCUGGUUAGCACUUGAAUAGGAGACUUCCCAGCAAUACCGGGAGCUGUAGGCU